UACAGAGGGUGCGAGCGUUAAUCGGAAUUACUGGGCGUAAAGCGUGCGUAGACGGCUAUCUAAGUCGGGUGUGAAAGCCCCGGGCUCAACCUGGGAAUUGCAUUUGAGACUGCUCUGCUCGGGUGCGGAAGAGGGAAGCGGAAUUUCCGGUGUAGCGGUGAAAUGCGUAGAUAUCGGAAGGAACACCAGUGGCGAAAGCGGCUACCUGGACCAGCACUGACACUGAAGCACGAAAGCGUGGGGAGCAAACAGG
rnacentral:rRNA from 1 species